GUCAUGUUUCUCCCGAGUCCACACAACAGGGUCCGGAGGAGACGACAAAACUGAAGAACUAGUUCAGAUAGAGGUAAUACCAUCUGAUACAGACAAUAUGGUAGUGAUUAAAACAUGUUGACCAUUGAAGGUUCAAGUGAAACUCCGCAAAGUUCCCUGGACUACUGACAAGAAACUAGGGUUACUAGUUCUGUACGUGUGACUGCGAGACAGAACUACCUUACCCAGGCUAUUGCGCAAGGACGUCUCGACUGUACGGGAUUACACGGAGACAGGAGAUAUGAUCUGAAUUUGAGAAUGUUGUUUGGAUAUUUAUUUUCCUGGAUUAUUAAGCCUAACCGAAGACAGAGGACAUAAAAACAACAUACAUAUAAGCUUUGCGUCAUUGCUCAUUCAACUCCAGAAUGGAGUACCUGUCUCCCUCUUCCGACGAGCGGGAUGAGCGGGAUGUUUCUCCGGAGUACCCAGACUCUUCUCGUCGUGUUUCUCACACCGGCAACGAAGGUGCGUUGGCAUCGUUGUUUUACGAACUGGGCAUCGUUUGGGCUCACCUGCGGCCGCUCAUACCGUUCUUUCUAAUCAGUGCAAUGGUGGUGGCAGUCAUCUACCUCAUUCAGCAUAUUAUCUACUCCGGGCCAUUCACCGACCCACUCUUCUUCGAAAAAUUCGAAGAACGUUGGCCAAGGCCCAAACCGCGCAAGGAUACGUCAACCUUAACCCCGGUGCUUUUCCCUAACCGGUUUGAAUACACUGGGAAUGGAACCCACUGAUCCCUAGUCCUGAAAUGCGGAUGGAUUCUUACUUGUGACAUGAUUCUAUUCUAAUGUGGAUCAAAGGUUUAUUGAGUCUCCCUGUGGAAUAUCCAGUGGAACUUAAAAAUCAGAUCAUGUUGAUUAGUUCUGCACUCGACUCCCACAGGAUUCUGUAUUUCAUUGACUGUGCCCGUUUCUUCUCUACAGCCCAUUGGGCUAGAUACUAUGUGCACAUUAUAAGGAGAACCUGGAGACUGGACCAUAAUUAUAUUUAGCCUACAAUGCUCCAAUGUCUUAAUCUAGUUUCCCCCCCACCUUUUACUUCAUUUAAUUAAUUAAAUUCAGUUGGCUAUAGGCCUAGAUUUAUUGUACAGUUAUUUGUUUUACAUGAAUAAACGCUAUGAAAUGGACGAAUCAUGGUUAUAUAUUUUUUGAUGGGAGGGGGAAUUAUUUGUGAAUAAAUUUUGUCUGCACUGUUUACUGCACAUUCACAAAUAUGAACAUUUCCACCACAGGUUUAUACAGAGCAAUCAAUUUUGCAUUAAGUCGGCGACCAUCGUGAUGACCUGGAAUGAAACACGCCUAUGAGCGUGAGAACACGUUAGCCUCUAGAAUUAAGAGUUAUCAUUUCAGAAAGAAAUAUAUCAUAUUUUAAAGUAAAUUCUUUUUAAGAUUUAUACGCUUAACAUUUUGUAUACUUUGACGUUUUAAUUUCUUUUAAUUUGAGAAAGACUUCGAUCGGGGGACUGUUGGAUAGUUCGUCAGUGAAUGGAGAAAUGUGGCGUUACCAGAGGCCAGGGUUCAAGGCCUUACUACUGGCUGAGCUCCAGAGGCAGCAGAGCGGCAGCCAGUUCUGUGACACGGUGCUCAGAGCAGACGGUGUGUCAGUGCCGGCCCACAGCUGUGUCCUGUCUGCCCUCAGCCCCCAGCUCUCUCGUGCGCUGUCCACCUCACCGGCACCUCCCUCUGGGCAGAGCCACCUCCUGGAGUUCCAGUCCUUUGGACGAAGCUCCCUGCUGAGGCUGGUGGGCCUCCUGUACUCUGGGGAGAUGGUGGGGGAGGGGGAGGCGGAGAGGCGGGAGGCGAUCACUGCCGCUGCUGGGCUAGGAAUCCAAGGACUGGUGGAGGUCAGAAGGAGGGAGGACGUGGAGGAGGCGGAAGAUGGUGGCUGGCUGUCGACAGGAGAAGCAGAGGUGAGACAGAGGGAGGAGGUGCCACAAAGGGAUGUAGGGGUCCAGACAGACCCCCAGCAGAAUACUGGAGCUCAGGAGACCAGGGAAGGAGGAAGAUGGAGGAGAGAUAAUAGGGGGGUAGAAGCUCCUGAUGUGAGGCUCAGAGAGACGGGGAACCCCACUGAGGAACCCCCUGGGGCCAGGCACUGUGAGUCGAAGGGAUACAACACGGAUCCUGGCGACUCCAGUGGCCGGGUUUCCCCUGGACUUUUCCCUUUUUCCACUGUGGACUCGGACCUCGUGAGCUCACUCACUGGUACCGGCCGGCCAGUUCUGCAGGGUGCGUCGCACAUUGAUGAUGUCACCACGAUCCAUGGAACAGAGGCCUCUGGUUCAGUUGUCCCCGUUCCGCUUCCUGUACCCCUCUUCCCUAAUGUCUCCCAUAUUCCCCUGUCUCACCUCUUCUACUGCCCCCCUGCUGAGACCCACACCCCUAACAAGCCCCCUCUAGCAGUUUUCAUGCCCUCCGGGGAAUCUGCGCCCGUCUACAUCAUCCCUCCAUCCGACCCCUCCCUGUCCCACUCCAUGUCAGGCCCAGUGCAGGCGAGUGAGGGGCCCCCACCUCCCAUCUCUGAGUCCCCACAGACAUGGGUGACGGGGCUGUCGGCAGGGGGGCGGUUUGGACAUGACGGGCAUGGAGAGGCAGAAGGGUUUGAGCGCUUCGAGGGAAACAUAGCUGGAUUCAUCAGUUACUUCCUGGAUUCUGCCCAACCAGCAGAGGAGAACCCAAGAGGGAGGCGGUCCCGGCGGAGGGUGUCGGGAGGAGCCAGGAGGGGAGGAACUGAGAGGAGAGCAAGGAGGCCGAGAGGAAUGAGUUGCACAAGGGGAGGGGCUAAGAAACCGGGGUCAGAUGUUGAGCAGGAAGUGAUGGAGGUGUCCCAGAGAGGAAGGUUGUGGAGGUGUGGGGUCCGGGCCUUCCGGACGGGCAGAGGAGGGGGUGUGGUUGGCAGGAAACUCUGUCUGAAGCCCAGAGAGGUGAUUCGACCAAUAAAGAUAUGUUUGAGGAGGCGAGGGCGGGGCAAAGUGUGGGAGAUUACGGGUCUGAAGAAGGAGAGGGGCGGGGCCUCCCGCCAAAGCAGAGCGGCAGGGAGGAGCCAGCGAAAGCCUGGGCCGGAGUUUAUCCCGGAUGUCUUGCCCGUGACUAAGAGGCCGAGAGGGCAGCCCAAACGCCUCCCCAUCCCAGACCUUCCAACGCCACUCCAGGAUAUGACCUACGGGCAACCUUCGUCAUCCAAACCGCAAACUCCGGCCCCUUACCUGGCCCCCUCCCGGGCCCUCCUCCACAACACCUCCCUCCCCCCCGUGCAACCCCCAAACCAGGAAGACUCAUCGGAGCAGUUGGACCGCCUCCUCGAGGACAUCAUGAUGGACCUGGACUUCCCCUGUGGUGGUCGCCAGGACGCCGGCAGGGGCGUCGCUGGAGCAGCCCCUGGUGCCCCGGAGGCUGUUACCGAGGUGACCGGGGCAGGGGGCGGUUCUGGAGGUGCCCGGGGUUCCAUGGAGCGGGGGCAGGCGGGGGGCGAGCUGAGUGACAUCCUGGAUCACUUCCUCCGGUCGUUUGAGCAGCAGGUGGCAGUGUUGCACCCAGGGGAAGUUACCCAGACAACCGGCGGACUCUCAGAGCCCCACAGCGCCCCCAGGAGGUAUGACGGAACCCAGAUCCAGACCGGUACGGCCGAACACAGAGGGCCUCCCACUCAGGUCCGAGCAGAGCAGACCAACCGUCCCUCACACUGUGCACGCACUAACGCACACUCAACACACUCGGACACACACGCUGACACCCCCCACGCACACACUAACACACUCCCCACACACAAUAACACACCCCCCACACACACUUCCACACCCGCUGCGCACACAGUCACACACCCUACACACACCAGCACAAACACUGACACCCAUCUACACGUGUCUCCACACACCAACAGUCUGCCGUCCAGCCCAGGGUCAGAGGUCAGGUUGGCGCCCCAAACACCUUCCACAAGUCAGGUUAGCAUCCUGCCUGUGGUGGAGAAGAAUCGGGACUUGGCCCAACCGCUGAUAAAGAGGAACAAGAAGCGUUCGACCUUGAGGAAGAGGAGGGGAAAGAAGCAGAACCAAGACAAUGUGCAUAGUCUGUUGCCGGGAGUGGCGGAUGCGUUGCCGGGUGUGUCUGUCCAUGUGGGCGAGGUGAUACGCCAACAAGACGGUGCUGCUAGGAAGAAGCCUGUUCUCAGCCCACCGCCCAUUCAGGUGGCUGAUAUAUUGCCAGGUGGGUGUUUUCAAUCUAUGGGAGUGCCACGCCAACCAACAGUGUGUAUUGUCAGACUGGAGAAGACCAUGGUGCUGCCAGGGGUGGAGUCUCACAAAGAGAAAGGCCCGCCCCUAGUCAAACGCCCAAUCCGGUGGGCUGAGAAGCUGAACAAUCAGACCGAGACAAAGUCAGCAUCAGGAUCUGAAAUUACCUUCCACCCACCUGGACAGAAUACCCAAAUCACUCCAGUGAGAACACCCGAGAAGCUAACAGGUCAGAGGGCACAGCCAAUCAGACACAGCAGGGAUAGUGUGUGGCAAGGUUCAGAGACAGGGGCUGUUGUGAAGAAACCGAGAGGGAGACCUAAAAAGAAGUGUCCGUGUGCAAAGAUUAUAUGGCUACGCCACCCCGCGGAACAGACUGGCCACCCCACAGAACAGACCGGCCACCCCGCGGAACAGACCGGCCACCCCGCGGAACAGACCGGCCACCCCGCGGAACAGACCGGCCACCCCGCGGAACAGACCGGCCACCCCGCGGAACAGACCGGCCACCCCGCGGAACAGACCGGCCACCCCGCGGAACAGACCGGCCGAGAGGGAGAAGUAAUGAAAGGUGGCAAGCAAAGAGGGGAUAAGAUUCCACAGCUGGGGUUGGAGAGAGGAUCAGAACCAGCCAGGAUGAGGCAGAAGAGGAGGAGAGUGAUGGAGUCAUUCGAAGGAAGGACUAUGGGCAGAGGGACCAAGAAGUCAUGUCCGGAACCAGGAGUGGUCCUGCUGGCCCAAACACGUCCAGAAGCUCCCCCUCCCAUCUCUGCCUGGGAACCCUCCAUCGGUGAACAGCAGGACCACCAUGUGAACAGAGAGGAGUCUGGGAAAGAAGUGACCACGGAGGAGGAAGACGUUGAUGUCACCCAGUUCUCCUCGGCCCCCCAGAAUAUCAGAGAGGACCUGCAGACACAGAGCAGAGUGGAAGACGAGGAGGAAAGGGAAAAACCCCUGGAGACCAAUCAGGGAGAAGGGAGGGUGAAACCGGCGGAAGGAGUAGAUGUGGAGGAUAUGGGAACUAUGGAAGAGGAUUCAGAUGAAAGUGUUGAUGUGGUUGGAGAUGAAGGAGGGCUGAAGGACAAGGCAAAACAACUGGGCACGGGAGCCCACAUCCUUCCAGGCAGAAGCUCUCAGUGGAAGGUCCCCAUUCCGUUCCAUUCUGUAAAGCCUCCUGUCUGCCCUGCACGUUUCAGGCGAGUUGUGGACAUCGAGGGGUCAACAGGAAGCUGGGAGGAAGACGAGGAAGUAGAUGUACUGGGGAGCUUCAGCCCCUACCUUGCCCCUCGUGUUGCAAUAGCGGACUGUUGGGGGGAGGGCUUUAGUUCUAGUGGAGACGAGGAAGAGGACGUCGAUGUCAUUGGAGGAGAGUUGGACCAUGCCCCUUUUAUUGGACCUCUCCUCUGACUGAAGUGGGUGGAUGCAUACGGUAGCCUACAUUAUCAGGACACACGUACUAGAAUACAUUAUCAGGAUUCGCAUGGUAGCAUACAUUAUCGGGACCUACGUGUAAAGCCUACGUUAUGCACACCCACACUUGAGCCUAUAGUUUCAGAACACGCAUUAUCAAACGUUAUCAGCGGCUACACGUGACGGCAUGUACUCUGAAGACGCGUGUGGUAUCUACCUUAUCAACAGUCACAUGACCAAUCACAGUUCUCUUCCGUUUUCUUUCACGCUAACUUCAACUGUCAGUUACUUGGAGGAAUGUUAUUUUCAUUAGUGAGUUCUGCAUUUACGAAAUCUUGACCUCAGUCAAAAUGUUAAACACUGUUUCUACAUAGUGGCCAAUGUCGUCUUUCGCAAGGAAAGCCUGCCUGUCCAAUGCCAGCUAACAGAGGUUUUGACCAACUGCUGCAUGUGGACUGUGUUAAAGUCGUCAUAGACCGCUAUAAUGAAUCAACUCGUACAAAUUUCUGCUUGCCAGGAAAGUGUACGUGAGAGGGGAUUUGGGCCAAGCAAUCUAACUUGCCUAAAAGUUCAGGAAUAACUUCUCCUAUUCCAUGUUUCUUUAAAUGAUGAAAAAUUCUAUAGUUUAUAGUUUCUACUGGUAAUAAUUAAUAGUACUUUUUGAUUCAUCUCCUUAGCCAGCCUGAUAAAUCAUUGAUGCUGUUUUGUAGUAUUUUCCUUUGUGUUUUCACCAUUCAAAUCAUCUGGUGUAAAAGUGUGUGAUUCAGUAAUGUUCUCUGUUUUUCUACAUUUCAAUCACUAGGCCUUUACACUGCCUUUUUGGCUAGACCUUUACACAGGCAAGACUUUUACACUGGCUACACCUUUACACAGGCAAGACUUUUACACUGGCUACACCUUUACACAGGCAAGACUUUUACACUGGCUACACCUUUACACAGGCAAGACUUUAACACUGGCUACACCUUUACACAGGCAAGACUUUAACACUGGCUACACCUUUACCGUUCCUCCCUGCAGUUUAACCGUUUUGUGUUUUAGAACCUUAACACCAGAUUAAAGAUGUUCUUAUCACCCCUGUC